AAGAGAAUGCGGGAUUGCAAGCCCAAACUUCAGAACUUGAAUCAAUAUCAAAUGAGAGAGAAGCUGAACUUUCUGCUCUCACCAAAAAACUUGGGGAGAUCAAUGGUGAAUCUAUUCAGCAGAAGGAGCAAUUGGAUCAGAAGGAAAAGGAAUACUCAGCUCUGUCUGAGAAGCAUGAGCUGCAUGAGAGUAAAACAUCGGCUCAAAUCCUGGGAUUAGAGGCUGCUGUGGCAGGGCUGGAACUGGAGCUAAGAUCUUUGCGAGGUCAGAAAGAAGAUAUAGAUGUUGAGAUUGAGAACAAAGAAACUCAAGUGAAACAACUAGCAGAAGAGAAUGUGGGACUGCAAGCCCGAAUUUCACAACUUGAAUCAAUAUCAAAUGAGAGAGAAGCCGAAUUUUCUUCCCUGGAGAAGAAAUUUGAGGACAGCAGUAAUGAAUAUGGUCGGCUGCAGGAAAAACUGGGUCAGAGGGAAGUGGAACACUCAACUCUGUCUGAGAUGCAUGAGCUGCAUAAGAGUAAAACAUUGGCUCAAAUUACGGGAUUAGAGGCUGCUGUGGCAGGGCUGGAACUGGAGCUGGAAUCUUUGCGAGAUCAGAAAAAAGAUAUAGAAGUUGAGAUUGAGAAGAAAGAAACUCAAGUGAAACAACUAGCCGAAGAGAAUGCGGGAUUGCAAGCCCAAACUUCAGAACUUGAAUCAAUAUCAAAUGAGAGAGAAGCUGAACUUUCUCUCACCAAAAAACUUGAGGAGAUCAAUAGUGAAUCUAUUCAGCUGAAGGAGCAAUUGGAUCAGAAGGAAAGGGAAUACUCAGCUCUGUCUGAGAAGCAUGAGCUGCAUGAGAGUAAAACAUCGGCUCAAAUCCUGGGAUUAGAGGCUGCUGUGGCAGGGCUGGAACUGGAGCUGAGAUCUUUGCGAGGUCAGAAAGAAGAUAUAGAUGUUGAGAUUGAGAACAAAGAAACUCAAGUGAAACAACUAGCAGAAGAGAAUGUGGGACUGCAAGCCCGAAUUUCACAACUUGAAUCAAUAUCAAAUGAGAGAGAAGCCGAAUUUUCUUCCCUGGCGAAGAAAUUUGAGGACAGCAGUAAUGAAUAUGGUCGGCUGCAGGAAAAACUGGGUCAGAGGGAAGUGGAACACUCAACUCUGUCUGAGAUGCAUGAGCUGCAUAAGAGUAAAACUUUGGCUCAAAUUACAGGUUUAGAGGCUGCUGUGGCAGGGCUGGAACUGGAGCUGGAUCUUUGAGAGGUCAGAAAAAAAGAUAUAGAAGUUGAGAUUGAGAAGAAAGAAACUCAAGUGAAACAACUAGCCGAAGAUAAUGCGGGAUUGCAAGCCCAAACUUCAGAACUUGUAUCAAUAUCAAAUGAGAGAGAAGCUGAACGUUCUGCUCUCACCACAAAACUUGAGGAGAUCAAUAGUGAAUCUAUUCAGCUGAAGGAGCAAUUGGAUCAGAAGGAAAAGGAAUACUCAGCUCUGUCUGAGAAGCAUGAGCUGCAUGAGAGUAAAACAUCGGCUCAAAUCCUGGGAUUAGAGGCUGCUGUGGCAGGGCUGGAACUGGAGCUGAGAUCUUUGCGAGGUCAGAAAGAAGAUAUAGAUGUUGAGAUUGAGAACAAAGAAACUCAAGUAAAACAACUAGCAGAAGAGAAUGUGGGACUGCAAGCCCGAAUUUCACAACUUGAAUCAAUAUCAAAUGAGAGAGAAGCCGAAUUUUCUUCCCUGGCGAAGAAAUUUGAGGACAGCAGUAAUGAAUAUGGUCGGCUGCAGGAAAAACUGGGUCAGAGGGAAGUGGAACACUCAACUCUGUCUGAGAUGCAUGAGCUGCAUAAGAGUAAAACUUUGGCUCAAAUUACAGGUUUAGAGGCUGCUGUGGCAGGGCUGGAACUGGAGCUGGAAUCUUUGAGAGGUCAGAAAAAAGAUAUAGAAGUUGAGAUUGAGAAGAAAGAAACUCAAGUGAAACAACUAGCCGAAGAUAAUGCGGGAUUGCAAGCCCAAACUUCAGAACUUGUAUCAAUAUCAAAUGAGAGAGAAGCUGAACGUUCUGCUCUCACCACAAAACUUGAGGAGAUCAAUAGUGAAUCUAUUCAGCUGAAGGAGCAAUUGGAUCAGAAGGAAAAGGAAUACUCAGCUCUGUCUGAGAAGCAUGAGCUGCAUGAGAGUAAAACAUCGGCUCAAAUCCUGGGAUUAGAGGCUGCUGUGGCAGGGCUGGAACUGGAGCUGAGAUCUUUGCGAGGUCAGAAAGAAGAUAUAGAUGUUGAGAUUGAGAACAAAGAAACUCAAGUAAAACAACUAGCAGAAGAGAAUGUGGGACUGCAAGCCCGAAUUUCACAACUUGAAUCAAUAUCAAAUGAGAGAGAAGCCGAAUUUUCUUCCCUGGCGAAGAAAUUUGAGGACAGCAGUAAUGAAUAUGGUCGGCUACAGGAAAAACUGGGUCAGAGGGAAGUG
rnacentral:lncRNA from 1 species